ACCCUCCGAAUCCCACUUCUAUUUUCGUGGAAAUUCCCGCAAUUUUUCUUUUAUUUAUUUUUAUGAAAACCCUCUUCGUCUUCCUCCUCCUCUUUUUCUGCUUCUUCAUGCAAGUAUAUUUCCAUGUUCAUGUCGUAUAAAAACUGUAAAUUAUUUAUAGGUAUACAUUGAGCCCUUCUUCCCAAAUCGGCUGAUAAAAGGAAAUCUAAACCAUCUGGACACAUUUUACUCUUUUCCAAUCUGGCCAGAUCUCAGCUUUUUUUGUGUCAUAAGUGAGAUUCUUAACUCAAAAUACCUUUUCAAAAAAAUAAAGAAGAAGAAGAUAGGUGUUCUGUUAUUCAAGAAGUACAAGUGAAGUACUUGUUGAUGUUUUGGCGUCAGUGAGUGGCAGCAGAUUCUGCUUCGAUUAUAUUGCCGCAGGUUUAAUCAUCAAGAACCUUCAUGAAAGAUGAUGGGUCAGGGAUGGUGUGGAAUGUGGGGUGAAAAAGAUUGCAGAAGCACAAUACCAGGAUUCAAUCUCAACAUUUCAAAGUUCAAAGGAAGAUGGGCGGGCGAUGGAAUACCCUGAUAUAAUCCCAGAGACCAAAACUGUUUGGCUUGGUACUAUCAAACUCCAUGAUCAUGACUGAAGAUUUCGAGUGGAAACCACCAUCGAAAACUUUCCAUGUUCAAACGGUCGAAUGGAAAAGUGUUAAACGGGUAACACUUAAAAAAAUUGUGUGUAAGAGAUAGCAUCACUUUAUGCUCAGUCUACACGAGUACAUGAUGGUAGUUAAUAAAUUUGAAUCGGAAUUUAAUUGUGCUACUAAAUUGUUUUACUCUCUUAGUGCCUGGGUUGGUAGAUUUUGCCGAACUACUCCUUUUAGGGUCUGUUUUUAUCUCCGAUCACUCUUGACUGUUCUGUAGGUUGGCGCUGAACAUUUUAUGUAAUACUCGGUAGGUAUCUAAUUUCAUGCUUAAUUUGGCCGCUGGAGCUUUAAUGAGUUGAA